rnacentral:tRNA from 1 species
CCCCGGGGUGUGAUGGUUAGCACAACAGACUUUGACUCUGUUAGACGUAGGUUCAAUUCCUCGCGGGGUUGCCA